rnacentral:rRNA from 2 species
UUGCCUGGCGGCUGUAGCGCGGUGGUCCCACCUGACCCCAUGCCGAACUCAGAAGUGAAACGCCGUAGCGCCGAUGGUAGUGUGGGGUCUCCCCAUGCGAGAGUAGGGAACUGCCAGGCA